AAAUUGAAGAGUUUGAUCAUGGCUCAGAUUGAACGCUGGCGGCAGGCCUAACACAUGCAAGUCGAACGGUAACAGGAAGCAGCUUGCUGCUUUGCUGACGAGUGGCGGACGGGUGAGUAAUGUCUGGGAAACUGCCUGAUGGAGGGGGAUAACUACUGGAAACGGUGGCUAAUACCGCAUAACGUCGCAAGACCAAAGAGGGGGACCUUCGGGCCUCUUGCCAUCAGAUGUGCCCAGAUGGGAUUAGCUUGUUGGUGAGGUAACGGCUCACCAAGGCGACGAUCCCUAGCUGGUCUGAGAGGAUGACCAGCCACACUGGAACUGAGACACGGUCCAGACUCCUACGGGAGGCAGCAGUGGGGAAUAUUGCACAAUGGGCGCAAGCCUGAUGCAGCCAUGCCGCGUGUAUGAAGAAGGCCUUCGGGUUGUAAAGUACUUUCAGCGGGGAGGAAGGUGUUGUGGUUAAUAACCGCAGCAAUUGACGUUAC
rnacentral:rRNA from 1 species